GAUGAACGCUGGCGGCGUGCCUAAUACAUGCAAGUCGAGCGAAUGGAUUAAGAGCUUGCUCUUAUGAAGUUAGCGGCGGACGGGUGAGUAACACGUGGGUAACCUGCCCAUAAGACUGGGAUAACUCCGGGAAACCGGGGCUAAUACCGGAUAACAUUUUGAACCGCAUGGUUCGAAAUUGAAAGGCGGCUUCGGCUGUCACUUAUGGAUGGACCCGCGUCGCAUUAGCUAGUUGGUGAGGUAACGGCUCACCAAGGCAACGAUGCGUAGCCGACCUGCGAGGGUGAUCGGCCACACUGGGAAUGAGACACGGCCCAGACUCCUACGGGAGGCAGCAGUAGGGAAUCUUCCGCAAUGGACGAAAGUCUGACGGAGCAGCGCCGCGUGAGUGAUGAAGGCUUUCGGGUCGUAAAACUCUGUUAUUAGGGAAGAACAAGUGCUAGUUGAAUAAGCUGGCACCUUGACGGUACCUAACCAGAAAGCCACGGCUAACUACGUGCCAGCCGCCGCGGUAA
rnacentral:rRNA from 1 species